rnacentral:rRNA from 1 species
CCUACUGGUGGCUGCAGUAGGGAAUAUUGGACAAUGGGCGCAAGCCUGAUCCAGCCAUCCCGCGUGAAGGAUUAAGGCCCUCUGGGUUGUAAACUUCUUUUCUUUGGGAAUAAAAACUCCGAUUCAUCGGAGCUUGAAGGUACCAGAGGAAUAAGCACCGGCUAACUCCGUGCCAGCAGCCGCGGUAAUACGGAGGGUGCAAGCGUUAUCCGGAUUCACUGGGUCGAAAGUGUGCGUGGGUGGCUUUGUAGAAAGCCUGGAGCUCAACUCCGGAACUGCCAUUGAUACUGCUUAGCUUGAAUCAGGUCGAGGUGGAUGGAAUAUUACAUGUAGCGGUGAAAUGCUUAGAUAUGUAAUAGAACACCGAUUGCGAAGGCAGUUCACUAGGCCUGUAUUGACACUGAGGCACGAAAGCGUGGGGAUCAAACAGGAUUAGAUACCCCGGUAGUC